GUGCCCAGCAGCCGCGGUAAUACGUAGGGUGCGAGCGUUAAUCGGAAUUACUGGGCGUAAAGCGUGCGCAGGCGGUUUUGUAAGACAGAUGUGAAAUCCCCGGGCUUAACCUGGGAACUGCGUUUGUGACUGCAAGGCUAGAGUACGGCAGAGGGGGGUGGAAUUCCACGUGUAGCAGUGAAAUGCGUAGAUAUGUGGAGGAACACCGAUGGCGAAGGCAGCCCCCUGGGCCUGUACUGACGCUCAUGCACGAAAGCGUGGGGAGCAAACAGGAUUAGAUACCCUGGUAGUCC
rnacentral:rRNA from 1 species